GGAGAUAUAGCUCAAUUGGUAGAGUGCUUACCUCACAGGCAUAAGGACCUGGGUUCAAUCCCCAGCACCA
rnacentral:tRNA from 1 species